rnacentral:rRNA from 1 species
CGGGCUAAAGCCCCGACGGGAGGGGAUGGCUCCGCGGCCCAUCAGGUAGACGGCGGGGUGACGGCCCACCGUGCCGACAACGGGUAGCCGGGUUGAGAGACCGACCGGCCAGAUUGGGGCUGAGACACGGCCCAGACUCCUACGGGAGGCAGCAGUGGGGAAUCUUGCGCAAUGGGGGGAACCCUGACGCAGCGACGCCGCGUGCGGGACGGAGGCCUUCGGGUCGUAAACCGCUUUCAGCAGGGAAGAGUCAAGACUGUACCUGCAGAAGAAGCCCCGGCUAACUACGUGCCAGCAGCCGCGGUAAUACGUAGGGGGCGAGCGUUAUCCGGAUUCAUUGGGCGUAAAGCGCGCGUAGGCGGCCCGGCAGGCCGGGGGUCGAAGCGGGGGGCUCAACCCCCCGAAGCCCCCGGAACCUCCGCGGCUUGGGUCCGGUAGGGGAGGGUGGAACACCCGGUGUAGCGGUGGAAUGCGCAGAUAUCGGGUGGAACACCGGUGGCGAAGGCGGCCCUCUGGGCCGAGACCGACGCUGAGGCGCGAAAGCUGGGGGAGCGAACAGGAUUAGAUACCCUGGUAGUCCCAGCCGU